UACGGAGGGUGCAAGCGUUAUCCGGAUUCACUGGGUUUAAAGGGUGCGUAGGCGGGCAGGUAAGUCCGUGGUGAAAUCUCUGAGCUUAACUCAGAAACUGCCAUGGAUACUAUUUGUCUUGAAUGUUGUGGAGGUAAGCGGAAUAUGUCAUGUAGCGGUGAAAAUGCUUAGAUAUGACAUAGAACACCAAUUGCGAAGGCAGCUUACUACACAAAUAUUGACGCUGAGGCACGAAAGCGUGGGGAUCAAACAGG
rnacentral:rRNA from 1 species